ACGAACGCUGGCGGCGUGCCUAAUACAUGCAAGUCGAGCGAAACUUAGAAAGCUUGCUUUCUAAGUUUAGCGGCGGACGGGUGAGUAACACGUGGGCAACCUGCCUAUAAGACUGGGAUAACUUCGGGAAACCGGAGCUAAUACCGGAUAAUAAUAAAGAUCACAUGGUUCUUUUAUUAGAAAGAUGGCUUCGGCUAUCACUUAUAGAGUCGGGCCCGCGGCGCAUUAGCUAGGUUGGUGAGGUAAUGGCUCACCAAGGCGACGAUGCGUAGCCGACCUGAGAGGGUGAUCGGCCACACUGGGACUGAGACACGGCCCAGACUCCUACGGGAGGCAGCAGUAGGGAAUCUUCCGCAAUGGACGAAAGUCUGACGGAGCAACGCCGCGUGAGUGAUGAAGGUUUUCGGAUCGUAAAGCUCUGUUGUUAGGGAAGAACAAGUGCCGUUCGAAUAGGGCGGCACCUUGACGGUACCUAACCAGAAAGCCACGGCUAACUACGUG
rnacentral:rRNA from 1 species